rnacentral:lncRNA from 1 species
CAUGACUGAUGAAUUAUUGUCAAGGACAAACUAAGGUUUAACAGGAUGGCCUACUACAAAUGGUGAAUAAAAUGAGAGCAAACUUGGGAAAGCAACUGCAAAGGCUCUGUAUUGGGUGGAAGACCCUGGCACGGAGGAGACUACACCAGGGGACACAGAUAUGGGAGCAAAUGACUUCAAAAUAAUGUGGUAGGAGCUCUAACAGUGGUCAGCACCGGGCACCAGAGGAGCACUGAAGAGAUUGCCUAAUCCAUCCCAGAAGGGAUGGUAUUGGAGCUGAGCCUUGACAGACGAGUGAGAAUAAAGAAGGAGAUGUGGCAAGGUGGGAGACCUGGUCCUUGCCUCUAUGGACAUAGUCUAGUGGGGAAGUUGGCAAGCUGACUGUAUAAUACUGAUUAUAGUGCAGUACAAUAAGUGUCUAGGAACAGUGCCUAGCACAUAGUAGGCACUUAUUAAAUAUCUGUUGAAUAAAUUAAUGUAUAAAUGCUGUAUAAUACUGAUUAUAGCGCAGAACAAUAAGUGUCUGGGAACAGUGUCUGGCACAUAGUAGGCACUCGUUAAAUAUGUGCUGAAUAAAUGAAUGUAUAAAUGCUGUAUGAUACUGAUUAUCAUAGAGCACAAAAACUGUCUGGGAACAGUGUCUGGCACAUAGUAGGCAUUCAUUAAACAUGUGUUGAAUGAAUGAAUUUAUAAAUGCUGUGCUAGCGGUGGAUACAAUCAGGUAGUCCUAGAAACAAUUGGGUACUAAAUUAAGAGUUACCAACUCCAAGUGCCCAUAGAGCUCAGAGCACAAAGAGCUCCAAAAGGGUGAAACAUGAACCAGACUUGAAGGAAGGAUCAACUCUGUGGGAUGAAGGUCGGUAGACAUUCAUCCUGAGAAGGAAAAACUACCAUUGACACCGCUAGAAGUAAAGGGCGAAGAAAACAGGAAAUGAGCACAAAGCAGGAUUUCUUAAUCCAGGGUCCAUGGUACUUCUGGGGCUUCUAUGAAACCCCAGAGAUUAUAAGCAAAAUCCUAGGUAUGUAUGAGAAAGGUUAUUUUACUGGGGAAAAAGACUAGAACUUUCGUGAAAUAGUCAAAGGAAUCCAAUAAGCCUAAGUAGGUCAAGACUGUCUCGGGGAGAACAGUUAACCUACUUCAGAUAGCCUGUGAAUCACUUCAUUCGUGACAAAUAAUUAUGCCAAUGGACUCCCAACACAAAAAACCUUGGGACUGAGUGAGCAGCAGUGGUUUCAGCCCUGCCUUUAAGUGGCAUUUUUAGCAUUUCCUUGCUGCUGCCUAUCAAUCCAGACCUAUCCACGUUGUCAGGGUAUCCUUAGCAGCUGAUGGAGAUGCCUCUUUCCAAAGGCAAUUUACAUGCACCAAAGUCCUUCCUCCUAAUGAUUUUCCAGUAGGGACAAUUCCCUCUUGUUAGAAUGUCCAUUGUUUACAUUUAUCUGAUCUUUUCUCACAAUUUCCAUUGAGCAGCAGUUGCUACAACCACCUGAGCAUCAAAUGGGCAAUUAAUUGGAACAGAUUUAAUAAAUGUACUAGAGAAGGGAGCUGUAUGUUUAUGGACUACAGUCCUUUCAUGGUCAUGCAUAAUGGACCAGACACUUUUCCACCCAGCUGCUUAUGCUACCACAGUGAACACAAAAUUUACAUACCUGGAAGAAAACAGCUUCUGAAACAUUAUUAAUGAAUGUAGCGAAUUUGUCUGUUAGGAUAAGCUAUGGUAUCUCCAUGGCUUAACUUUGCACCAUCCUAUUCUUGGUUAAAAAUAUCUACAGUGUCUCCCCUUACUGUCUUCUUUCUAAAAUAUAAUUUUAUAUUUUAAUUGAAGUGGCCCUUUUUCAACCAAGAAUCAGGGCGUUGUGAAAGAGCAAUGUGCAUUCCCCCUGUUUGAAAGCACAGGGAAUGUUUAAAGUUUUUAGAAUACAAAAUAACUUUAGAGCGGAAACCUUAGCAACUAAACUAUACUAGUAGGAGUGUAAUGUUCAAAGAGGGGGACAAUGGUCCCAAUCCCCUCAGGGUUAGACACACCACAUAAGAAAUAUUUGUAUCCAGUACUUGAUGCCACAUCCUUCAAGGGAUAACCAUAGGCCCAUGAGGCUGGUAGGUGCUCUCAAAGUGAAGGCAAAUGGCAAUGGCUAACAUUCCAUGGAG